GAGUUUGAUUCUGGCUCAGAUUGAACGCUGGCGGCAUGCUUACACAUGCAAGUCGAACGGUAACAGGCCGCAAGGUGCUGACGAGUGGCGAACGGGUGGUAAUGCAUCGGAACGUGCCCAGUCGUGGGGGAUAACGCAGCGAAAGCUGCGCUAAUACGCAUACGAUCUGCGGAUGAAAGCGGGGGACCUUCGGGCCUCGCGCGAUUGGAGCGGCCGUGUCAGAUUAGGUAGUUGGUGGGGUAAAGGCCCACCAAGCCGACGAUCUGUAGCUGGUCGAGAGGACGACCAGCCACACUGGGACUGAGACACGGCCCAGACUCCUACGGGAGGCAGCGUGGGGAAUUUUGGACAAUGGGCGCAAGCCUGAUCCAGCAAUGCCGCGUGCAGGAAGAAGCCUUCGGGUUGUAAACUGCUUUUGUACGGAACGAAACGGCUCUGGUUAAUACCCGGGGUAAUGACGGUACCGUAAGAAUAAGCACCGGCUAACUACGUGCCAGCAGCCGCGGUAAU
rnacentral:rRNA from 1 species